rnacentral:rRNA from 1 species
GGCGAAUGAAGCGGGAAAAGCUCAAGUUUGAAAUCUGGGAGGCUCAGAGUUGUAAGCUGGAGAGGCGUGACCGAUCGGGCCCGCCCAAUUUCCUUGGAACAGGGAGUCGUGGAGGGUGAGAACCCCGUACGUGGUCGGGGCCCGUCUGCGUCGUGUCCUCGAAGAGUCGGGUUGUUUGGGAAUGCAGCUCAAAACGGGUGGUAAAUUUCACUAAGGCUAAAUAUUGGCGAGAGACCGAUAGCGAACAAGUAGAGUGAUCGAAAGAUGAAAAGUACUUUGAAAAGAGAGUGAAACAGUACGUGAAAUCGUUGAAAGGAAGCGUUUGCAUCAGCCCUUGGCCUACGUCGACAUCCGGGCUCUGUCCUGCACUCGUCGGGGUCGGGCCAGCGUCGAUCUGCCCGUCGAGAAGACCUCUGGAACGUGCCUCUCCGGGAGGGUAUAGCCUCUGGUGUCAUGCGACGUGGCGGGGUCGAGGUCUGCGGUCGUCCAGGACGCUGGCGUAAUGGUUCCAAGCGACCCGUCUUGAAACACGGACCAAGGAGUCUAACAUCUAUGCGAGUGUUUGGGUGUCAAGCCCGUCCGCGCAAUGAAAGUGAACGUAGGCGGGAGCUUUGGCGCACCGUCGACCGGUCCGGGGGUUUAUCGAAUCCGAGUAAGAGCAUAGCUGUUGGGACCCGAAAGAUGGUGAACUAUGCCUGAAUA